rnacentral:tRNA from 1 species
GGCUCGUUGGUCAAGAGGUUAAGACACCGCCCUUUCACGGCGGUAACAGGGGUUCAAUUCCCCUACCUGUUG